CAAGUAUUUGUCACCCUGGUACUGCUGAACAUCUACCCAGCAGCCCUAGAUACUUCCCAAAUCAUGAUCAAGAAUAUAUUGCUUGUCCUAAAAUGGACACUCACAGUGAAGAAACAACCAGAAAACAAUAAGCAGGUUCAUUCUACUCAUCUAUUAUUCAAAUAGUUUGAAAAGAUAUACAACAGGAAUACCUUGGUUAGAUCAUCCAAGACUUUUUUUCUUUCCAUAUCAUUGUCACAGCACCGGAGAGCACUGUACAAAAUCCCAUCUCCUGGCACACAACUCUAAAAUCCUUGGAAUCUCCAAAGUGAUAUCAUUUCGUAAGCUAAUGGGUUGAUUGAUGGCUGGCAGCACCUAUAUAGCAGGAUGGGGGCUGAUCACCAGAAAGACCAAGGCAGGAUUAAAGGUCUAGAACUUUCAAUACCUCCCCAACCUCCAGGGAUAGAAAGGCAGCUAAAGGUUAAGCUGAUCACCAGUGGCAAUUACUUAAUCAUUCAUGCCUAGUAAC
rnacentral:lncRNA from 1 species